rnacentral:rRNA from 1 species
UACCAGCACCCCGAGUGGUCGGGACGUUUUAUUGGGCCUAAAGCAUCCGUAGCCGGUUCUACAAGUCUUCCGUUAAAUCCACCUGCUUAACAGAUGGGCUGCGGAAGAUACUAUAGAGCUAGGAGGCGGGAGAGGCAAGCGGUACUCGAUGGGUAGGGGUAAAAUCCGUUGAUCCAUUGAAGACCACCAGUGGCGAAGGCGGCUUGCCAGAACGCGCUCGACGGUGAGGGAUGAAAGCUGGGGGGAGCAAACGGGG